UACGUAGGGUGCAAGCGUUAAUCGGAAUUACUGGGCGUAAAGCGUGCGCAGGCGGCCAUGCAAGACAGAUGUGAAAUCCCCGGGCUCAACCUGGGAACUGCAUUUGUGACUGCAUGGCUAGAGUACGGCAGAGGGGGAUGGAAUUCCGCGUGUAGCAGUGAAAUGCGUAGAUAUGCGGAGGAACACCGAUGGCGAAGGCAAUCCCCUGGGCCUGUACUGACGCUCAUGCACAAAAGCGUGGGGAGCAAACAGG
rnacentral:rRNA from 1 species